UUCACCGGUUCCCGUGAAUUCACCGAAGUUAAGCAACGUCGAUCCUGGUCAGUAACUAGAUGGAUGACCGCUUGGGAAUACCAGGUGCUGUAAG